rnacentral:rRNA from 1 species
GAAGGGGGCGAGCGUUGUUCGGAUUUACUGGGCGUAAAGGGCGCGCAGGCGGCCAUUCAAGUCAGGCGUGAAAGCCCCGGGCUUAACCUGGGAGGUGCGCUUGGGACUGGAUGGCUAGAGAUCGGGAGAGGAGAGUGGAAUUCCCAGUGUAGAGGUGAAAUUCGUAGAUAUUGGGAAGAACACCGGUGGCGAAGGCGGCUCUCUGGACCGAUACUGACGCUGAGGCGCGAAAGCGUGGGGAGCAAACAGGAUUAGAUACCCUGGUAGUCCACGCUGUAAACGAUGUGUGCUAGACGUUGGGGAGCCUAGCUCUUCGGUGUCGCAGCUAACGCUUUAAGCACACCGCCUGGGGAGUACGGCCGCAAGGUUA